rnacentral:rRNA from 1 species
AUUGAACGCUGGCGGCAGGCCUAACACAUGCAAGUCGAACGAGUGGCGGACGGGUGAGUAAUGUCUGGGACACUGCCUGAUGGAGGGGGAUACCUACUGGAAACGGUAGCUACUCCCGCCUACCAUCAGAUGUGCCCAGAUGGGAUUAGCUUGUUGGUGGGGUAACGGCUCACCAAGGCGACGAUCCCUAGCUGGUCUGAGAGGAUGACAGGCCACACUGGAACGGAGACACGGUCCAGACUCCUACGGGAGGCAGCAGUGGGGAAUAUUGCACAAUGGGCGCAAGCCUGAUGCAGCCAGGCCGCGGGUAGGAAGAAGGCCUUCGGUUUGUAAAGUACUUUCAGCGGGGAGGCGUUACCCGCAGAAGAAGCACCGGCUAACUCCGUGCCAGCAGCCGCGGUAAUUC